GGAUAGGAGAAAAGACUGUUUUACCCCUCUAUAUCUUCUCCUUCACUCUUCUUCCGACGACAACCAUGGCUUUCUCUCCCAACCAAAAAAAACUUUGGAUUCAUCUCCCAACAACAACUCUCGCUUUCCAGGCCAUAAACCUCACUUCUCACCAUCUCCACCCCCAACACCAUCUCCAUCCGUUGUCAACAACAUCUCUGAUUCGAAACACAAAACCUCUCCGUCGCCCACACCAUCUCAGAUCCGAUGAUUUCAGUGGAUUCAAUUAAUUUCGUUUUGAAUAAAGGAAGCUAAACCCUAUGGGGAUACUAUCUAGUAAACCCAAGGGCUCCAAUCUAAAACAUCUAUGGAAUCAAAACUUCCAAUUCUAUUUUUAAAUCUAAACAAAUAGGUAUCGGAUCUCAUCAUCUCAUCAUCGUGACCACCAUCUUGUUCAUCGUAACUCAUCAUUUUCAACAGAUUCAACAUCUUCACCACCAUCUCCUUUACCGGAUCUCAUCACCACCACCAUCGUCAUUAAAGCGUUUUGUUGGUCGUCAACAGAGAAAUUUUUUUCUUUUUUUUUCCAGCUGUUGUUGGUAAGGGUAAUAACGUCAUUUCACUAGGCUGAGAAAUGCUUAAAAAUGAAGGCUGGACAAUCUGACCUAAAAUGAUAAUUUUUGGUAGAAUAAAUGCCAAUCCGGUAAUUGAUUCUU
rnacentral:lncRNA from 1 species